rnacentral:rRNA from 1 species
UACGUAGGGGGCUAGCGUUGUCCGGAAUCAUUGGGCGUAAAGCGCGCGUAGGCGGCCCUGUUAGUCCGCUGUAAAAGUCAAAGGCUCAACCUUUGAAUGCCGGUGGAUACUGCAGGGCUAGAGUCCGGAAGAGGCGAGUGGAAUUCCUGGUGUAGCGGUGGAAUGCGCAGAUAUCAGGAGGAACACCGGUGGCGAAGGCGGGUCUCUGGGCCGAUACUGACGCUGAGGAGCGAAAGCGUGGGGAGCGAACAGG